UAAAGUAAAUAUAUUAUGUAAUUUUAACAGAGGGACUUAUAUUAGGCUGUCUUUACAUAACUAAAUUAUUAUUUUAUAGCUCUAAUGUAAACUUUCAUCAAUCAUUCCUCCCUCCAAUCCAAUGACAUAUAAAAACAUCUUAAAGAUGACCUAAACUCUAUGCCUAAACUGAACUGUCCCACCAAACUCAUUGAUAAGGGGGCGCUACCGUCGUUCAACUAUACAGGGUGUUAGGUAAAUGGGUAUAUGAGCCGACACUAGCCCAUGUUAACAUGGUCAUAUAAAUGGUAUGGUGAAGUCAGAAAAUUGAUAUCUUCAUUUUAAUUAUUUUAAUUUUCAUACAAAUCGGAUUUUAUAAAAUUUAUUUUGUAUGAAAAUUAAAAACAAUAAAAUGAUGAUAUCAAAUUUCUGACUUCACCAUACCAUUUAUAUGACCAUGUUAACAUGGGCUAGUGUCGGCUCAUAUACCCAUUUACCUAACACCCUGUAUAGUUUCCAACAUGGCAAAAAUCGGAACCAGCGAUCCGGUAUUGACGGUGGCGCCCCGCUGCCAAUGUCAAGGUUUUAUUUCUAUCAUAUUUUUUUUACCACCAAAACUGUCAGAUGCUAUUUUUCAAAUAGCCCUAUCCUACUAUUUGAUACAAAAUCUAACGAAAUGAAUACUUUACAUUUCUUGUGGGCUGCCCACAGGGAAGAAUUGCGGAGAAGGCGGAAAAUGCGAGAAUUAGCCAGAAUAUAUGAAGAAAAUUUUGAAGACAUGCCAGAGCUUCUGUUCAGGCAACGUUACAGGCUUAACAAAGGCCAAUUUCAGGAGCUUUGUCAUAUAUUGAAACAGGAAACCUCUUUGCGGGGAAAUACAAUAAUUUCUCUGGAAUCCAAGAUGAGCUGCCUGCAGGAUCUGUUGCAACAGCCACUUUUCUGGAGCAUUUUAACAAUUUAUUUGAUUUACUUAAUGCGCAUGCAUUCACCAGACUGGCAAGAAGGGAAGCAAUCAGUGUGUAUAAUAUUAAUUAAAAGAUUUUGUUUAAUAGAGAACAGAAGGUUCUCCACUGAAUCUGCCUAGUAAAGGCUGCCAAAAAAAAAUAAAAAUAUUAAAAAAUUCAUA